rnacentral:misc_RNA from 1 species
GAAUGGCAUCCUUGCUUCUUUUGGACAUCUUCGCACUUCUAGAAGAAAAAACGGAUUCUGAAAGUGAGGACGGUAUCCUUGUCUUCUUCUCAGAUUUAGAAGCACUUUGAGAUCCAUUAUCACUUUUCGAAUUCAGAGCAUCACUUUUUUCCUCCUCAUCACACUCCGCCGCACUACGGAUUAGAACUGCUGGUGUAGCUGAAUUCAAAGUUGAAUCAUUAGUUACAGGUCCCAUAGAAGCACCUUGGUUUUCUUGCUCAUUGGAUUUAUCCUCAAUAGCAGCCCAAACAUUAACCUCUUGACUAGUAGGAGCAACAGGUUCAUCAACACAAAUGUCUGUCUUAGAUUUAGGUCUAGGCAGGGUGGCUUUUAAUGAUAAAUUAAUAUUACCACGAACGUCCUGUCCUAUACACAUUAAAGAAAGUUGCUGUCCCACAGAUACCACAUCUGAAAC